CACUGUUGUUCAUGUUAAUUUCUUGCAAUCACUCCUAAGGAAAAAAAAAUUCUCUCAUUCCAAAUUACAAACAACCAAAUUACAAAUAUCUGGAACAAAACUCUUCCAAAGGAAACAGAAACAACUACUUUUAUUGUUAAACUUUCAAUUCACAGAUUAACUUUCAAAGGUUCAUAUUUCCCACGUUCUUUUUUUUUUUUUUUGAGACAGGGUCUCGCUCUGUCUCAAGGCUGGAGUGCAGUGGCACAAUCUUGGCUCACUUCAACCUCCGCAUCCCGGGCUCAAAAAAUUCUCCUGCCUCAGCCUCCCAAGUAGCUGGGACUACAAGCAGGCACCACCAUGCCUGGCUAAUUUUUGUAUUUUUUGUAGAGACAGGAUGUGUUCCCCAGGCUGGUCUCGAACUCCUGGGAUCAAGCGAUCCACCCGCCUUGGCCUUCCAAACUGCUGGGAUUACAGGUGUCAGCCACCGCACUCGGCCCCUAUUUCCCACAUUCUUAAUGAGACCCCAUCCACAGUGGUCCAAUCAACUUUCAAAUUAGCUCUGGGGGAAAAAAUACAUUUAAUGAAAGCUAGAAAACCUAGAGAAGGUCUUGCUCUUCAUCUUUCACUGCAGCUAUGGACAGCUCGGCACCACAUUUGCACCAAUCAGCAUGUUUGCCCAUGUCCUGCCAAGGAGAGAAUUUUACAUCAUCACUGACAAGGUGUGUUCACCUAUUCUCAUCACGUAACACUGAUUCUGAUUCCAUACCUAAUUUAUCAAUCUAAGACAUUACUGGACCACGUAACCUUACAUAUAACUACCUGACAAUAUUUUCACAUGAAGUUGCUGCUGCUUAUUAUACAUCAAAGUUCACGUCAAUGUGGCAUGAAGUCAAGAGGAUUCCAAGCAAACUCCAUCAAAACCUUGGGGCUCACAGCAUCUCCCAGUGUGUAGAUUUUCACAUCUAAGUUCUGAAGACAUGAUCUAAGCGUGGAAGAGCUCCUGAAGUUGACCACUGAUCUUCUGAGUGCAAGUCACAUCUGGAAAUCCUGUAGGCAAUGUCAUGGGCAAAAUUGUGUUCAUAAAACUGUGCUUAGGUCUGCUUAUGAUAGAUUAUCACGUCACGAAAAAAAUGCCACAGAAGUCCAGACUUUUAACUAAUCUACUAGCUUCUGCAUCAGUAUCACAAUGCCGAGCUCUGAAUUUUAAAUGUGCACAUAUUGUCAUAUUCAUAUAGUGACUUACAGUUUUCAAAGCACUAGGUACAUGGUCCUCAAAAAUGGUUGGCUUUAUACGACCCAAACUAAGGACAUUUCAUAGGUUUCAAUGUUAACGCGUAUUGUGAGGGUUUGUGCAUAAUUAUCUUCACAGCAGUAAAGGUAUUCACUACAAUACAUAAAUUCAUUACACAAACCAAGAAUAAGCUUCUAACUUAUUUUGACAGAUAUGUCACACACGUAAUUUGUCCAUAUUUUACUAUUUCAUAAAUACUUAUUAUUUCUAUCAAUAAUGCUACUGGAAUGGAAUAAUAUUACAUAGAAAAACGUAGGAAAACCACAUAUAACAAGCUCUAAAGGGCUAAAUUUCAGUUAUAAAAUGGGUCAGAGGCUGAGAAAUCACUAUUUAUCCACAAGAAUUGCCUUAUAAAUCAAAAGAUGACUGCAGGUUUCUCUUACAUAUCCAAAUCUAGGAAUAAGUUCAUUCCACAGCAGAUUUGAAAAAACAAAAAUAUAAUGUAGGAAGUAAUAUCAUUCAUGGCAAACCAACAGCAUGAAAUUUGGUAGGCUUAUUUAGGAUGAAAAGGAAUAAUCUAGAUUGUUUUAAUACCCUAUAAGAGUCCAUGUUAAGUCAUCCUGACAAAAAAUCUUUUUAAAAAUAUGGUAACCAUAAAUAAAGUUGCUCAAAGGCACCACACACACACGCACACACACGGUUCUCUAAUGAAAUACCAGUUGAAGUGCAGCAUUUUCAUUACAGAUAGUCACACAGCUAGAGCUAUACAAUACACACAGAUUUCUCCUAAGAGUACCAGCAAUCUUAGUUAUAAAAUAAUACUUUUCAGUAGUCUUUCUUGAUGCACAUUUAAAAACCAGCACAACUCCUCUAGUGAAAUGGUCGAUUUCCCUUAAAAAACAACAUCUGAAAUUAUAAGACCUGACAAAUCAUAUUAUAUUUCAAUAUUAGACAGCUGUGGCUCUAGAACAACAGAAAAGCGUAACUUUCAAACAGCUUAGGGAAAAAGCACUGAAAUGUAGAUGUCGUCAAUCAGCCUCAGGCAUUACUGAUCCUGUGCCAUCCACACACCCUUAAGGUUUUUCACAGCACUCUGACGGUAUUAUGUCUGCUUUGCAAAUGACAAAUCAACAGUAUGCUGAAUAAUCAGCAAUGAAACACAGGAGAUAAAUUAAAUGUGUUUUUCCAAAUGUCGGAAUAUCGAGGUUCCCAGGAGUUGGCAAAACUUCUCAAGUGGCCAUCCAGACUCAGGCUGUGCAGGAUAAGGCUUCCUUACGUAGUGAACGGUUGAGAAUAUUUGCUCCCCACACCCAGAGCCAUUCAGGCAUAUACUGUGCAAAAAGAAACUAAAAAUGAAAGAGAAAAAGGUUGUAAGGUUAGAACCCAAAAUCAACACUGAAGGAACAAGUACACAGACCAGCACAUGAAACCCACCAAUCACAACAAAUACCCACCAAUCAAUCACAACAAAUACCCACCAAUCACAACAAAUACCCACCAAUCAAUCACAACAAAUACCCACCAAUCACAAUACCCACCAAUCAAUCACAACAAAUACCCACCAAUCACAACAAAUACCCACCAAUCAAAUUACCCACCAAUCAAUCACAACAAAUACCCACCAAUCACAAUAAAUACCCACCAAUCAAUCACAAUAAAUACCCACCGAUCAAUCACGACAAAUACCCACCAAUCACAACAAAUACCCACCAAUCAAUCA
rnacentral:lncRNA from 1 species